UCCGUAGGUGGAUAAUGAAGUCAGAGGUGAAAUCCUGCAGCUCAACUGUAGAAUUGCCUUUGAUACUGGUUAUCUUGAAUUAUUGUGAAGUGGUUAGAAUAUGUAGUGUAGCGGUGAAAUGCAUAGAUAUUACAUAGAAUACCAAUUGCGAAGGCAGAUCACUAACAAUAUAUUGACACUGAUGGACGAAAGCGUGGGGAGCGAACAGGAUUAGAUACCCUGGUAGUCC
rnacentral:rRNA from 1 species